ACAGUUAAGCAACAGCCCGCCCAGGGGAAGAAAGGGAGGAGAUAGAGAGCCUGGGAAACAUUAUGGGGUAUAAAAUCUCUAGAGUCUAAACAAAAAAGAGAACAGGGAAGUCAAUUUUUCAAGUCAUCCACUUGGCCUUCUUCCCAGAGUAUCCUGCUUUCUCUAAUAAUUCUCACUUUGCUUAAAAGAAAUUCUCUCUCCUUCUUUAAACCUUGCCUGUGUCUCUCAUUUGAAUUCUCUCCUUUGAGAAGUCAAACGACCAAGUUUGCUGCAGAGUUGCCACUCUGGAGUUUCUUCGGACAGCUCACCAGCUGGUAAUGUACUUCGGUGCCAUGACUCAGAUCCAUCAUCUAGCGUUUACCCCACCUGUGUUUAACAAAGAGGCCACCAUCUCACCUUGAGAUGUCAAGUCUGGAGCAUCCAAAUAAAUCUUGAAGAGACUUGGAGAAUAUAAACUCUGCAGGGUGGAACAAAAUAAUAGAAAGUUAUGUCAUGGAAGAUUUUGUGGAAUUUAGCCUCAAUACAAGCUCUGAACUAAUUUUUCCUCCCUAAAAUUAGUAGUAAAUUGAAACCACUAUAUUUUCUUUUCAGAUCUCCUUCUUCAUUUUUUAUAAAUUUCUCAAUUAUCUGUAUAAGAAUAAAUAUUUAUAGAGACAGAUUCUUGAUCCAGGCGCCUACAAUCAAAUCUUGCUUUUAACACUUAAUAAUAGCUGUGUAAACUUGGGCAAGACAUUUUGCCUAUUUGUGUUUUGGUUCACAAUAGCAAAGACUUGGAACCAACCCAAAUGUCCAUCAGUGAUAGACUGGAUUAAGAAAAUGUGGCACAUAUACACCAUGGAAUACUAUGCAACCAUAAAAAAGGAUGAGUUCAUGUCCUUUGUAGGGACAUGGAUGAAGCUGGAAACCAUCAUUCUCAGCAAACUAUCGCAAGGACAAAAAACCAAACACCGCAUGUUCUCACUCAUAGGUGGGAAUUGAACAAUGAGAACACUUGGACACAGGAAAGGGAACAUCACACACUGGGGCCUGUCAUGUGGUGGGGGGAGGGGGGAGGGAUAGCAUUAGGAGAUAUACCUAAUGCUAAAUGAUGAGUUAAUGGGUGCAGCACACCAACAUGGCACAUGUAUACAUAUGUAACAAACCUGCACGUUGUGCACAUGUACCCUAGAACUUAAAGUAUAAUAAAAAUAAAUAAAUGAAUACAUAUGUUCAAAGAACUAAAAUCACAUCUAAAAAAAUACCUAUCUAAUUGGGUUUCCUUAAACCCUUAAAAUGGUACUUUAUACAAAUUAAUUGAUACAUGAUUAUUGUUAUUCAGCAGUUGUUUUUCAAGUAUAUUUUUAUAAAAGAUCAUGAAAUUAAAGUAUAAAGACUAUGUAAAUAAAAUAAAAUGUAAUAACUUCUAUAA